rnacentral:lncRNA from 10 species
GAAGCUGCCCAUGCAAAGGUGCCAUGCAGCAGAGCUCACUGGAGGGUGGCCCUACUGCAUUUUCCGUGCCCUGCUAUAUGCUGUGUACCACAGGAGCAAGCAGAGAAAAACACUGGAAACAAGCCCUGUUUUCCUUCAGUGUUUCCUAGAGCCAUCUGCUGACAACACGAACAUUGGGCAUCUGACAGAGGAGAAAUAUUUAUAAGGUUUAGCUCCAGUAUCACAGGCAGAGCAAUGGAGGAUGGAUUUGGAGCUGCAAGGCAAUAAACUGGUAACUGAACAAAGCAAUUAAGUCAAUGAACACUGCUAUCCUACUGGCUUUGAAAUGAAGGCACACCCCUUCAGAGUGUACCCUAUCAGAAAGAAAGAAGAGGAAAAAAAAUUAUAAUUAUUAAUUCAUGAUGCUAUGCAGGCUUUGUGAGGUUGGAGGUAACUGCUAUUGAAGAAAUGCUUCAGGCCCUGGUCAACACAACGAAAGACAAUGAACAGAAAUCGCCAUUUGAUGUGAAGAGUGACUGUAAAGGAAGACAAGAAGAAGGCACAAGGAGAUUUGCUCCAAACUAGUUCUUCCCAUAAAAUCUCUGCCCCGGCCAGUUGCAGUGGCUCACGUCUGUAAUCCCAGCACUUUGAGAGGCCGAGGU